rnacentral:rRNA from 1 species
AUUGAACGCUGGCGGCAGGCCUAACACAUGCAAGUCGAGCGGAUGAAGGGAGCUUGCUCCUGGAUUCAGCGGCGGACGGGUGAGUAAUGCGUAGGAAUCUGCCUGGUAGUGGGGGAUAACGUCCGGAAACGGGCGCUAAUACCGCAUACGUCCUGAGGGAGAAAGUGAGGGAUCUUCGGACCUCACGCUAUCAGAUGAGCCUAGGUCGGAUUAGCUAGUUGGUGGGGUAAAGGCCUACCAAGGCGACGAUCCGUAACUGGUCUGAGAGGAUGAUCAGUCACACUGGAACUGAGACACGGUCCAAACUCCUACGGGAGGCAGGAGUGGGGAAUAUUGGACAGUGGGCGAAAGCCUGAUCGAGCCAUGCCGCGUGUGUGAAGAAGGUCUUCGGUUUGGAAAGCACUUUAAGUUGGUAGGAAGGGCAGUAAGUUAAUGCCUUGCUGUUUUGACGUUACCAACAGAAUAAGCACCGGCUAACUUCGU